UCCCGUAGCUCGGGAAGAGGCUCCUUCUAUCAACACCCCAACUUCCAUGAGGCAAAGAACAUCACAUCCCGCGGUCGACCAUGGUAUUCAAGGGAUUCAGAGGUGGUUCCGGUGGCAGACGACGCUACAGUAAGCUAGAUUCUUCCACAUGUUUCUUCUCCUGUUUGUGUAGGGGGCAGACUCCGUCUUUUUUCCCCAGCAUGGGUGUCUAUCACAUUGGACACAUGGGUUCAGG